CUCUGUGACUCCUACGGGAGGCAGCAGUGGGGAAUAUUGCACAAUGGGCGCAAGCCUGAUGCAGCCAUGCCGCGUGUGUGAAGAAGGCCUUCGGGUUGUAAAGCACUUUCAGUCGUGAGGAAGGUAGUGUAGUUAAUAGCUGCAUUAUUUGACGUUAGCGACAGAAGAAGCACCGGCUAACUCCGUGCCAGCAGCCGCGGUAAUACGGAGGGUGCGAGCGUUAAUCGGAAUUACUGGGCGUAAAGCGCAUGCAGGCGGCCUGUUAAGUCAGAUGUGAAAGCCCCGGGGCUCAACCUCGGAACUGCAUUUGAAACUGGCAGACUAGAGUACUGUAGAGGGGGUAGAAUUUCAGGUGUAGCGGUGAAAUGCGUAGAGAUCUGAAGGAAUACCGGUGGCGAAGGCGGCCCCCUGGACAGAUACUGACACUCAGAUGCGAAAGCGUGGGGAGCAAACAGGAUUAGAUACCCUUGGAG
rnacentral:rRNA from 1 species